UACGGAGGGUGCGAGCGUUAAUCGGAAUUACUGGGCGUAAAGCGCACGCAGGCGGUUUGUUAUGCUAGAUGUGAAAGCCCCGGGCUCAACCUGGGAUGGUCAUUUAGAACUGGCAGACUAGAGUCUUGGAGAGGGGAGUGGAAUUCCAGGUGUAGCGGUGAAAUGCGUAGAUAUCUGGAGGAACAUCAGUGGCGAAGGCGACUCCCUGGCCAAAGACUGACGCUCAUGUGCGAAAGUGUGGGNAGCGAACAGG
rnacentral:rRNA from 1 species